rnacentral:rRNA from 1 species
GACGAACGCUGGCGGCGUGCUUAACACAUGCUAGUCGAACGGAAAGGCCCUGCUUUUGUGGGGUGCUCGAGUGGCGAACGGGUGAGUAACACGUGAGUAACCUGCCCUUGACUUUGGGAUAACUUCAGGAAACUGGGGCUAAUACCGGAUAGGAGCUCCUGCUGCAUGGUGGGGGUUGGAAAGUUUCGGCGGUUGGGGAUGGACUCGCGGCUUAUCAGCUUGUUGGUGGGGUAGUGGCUUACCAAGGCUUUGACGGGUAGCCGGCCUGAGAGGGUGACCGGCCACAUUGGGACUGAGAUACGGCCCAGACUCCUACGGGAGGCAGCAGUGGGGAACAUUGCACAAUGGGCGGAAGCCUGAUGCAGCAACGCCGCGUGCGGGAUGACGGCCUUCGGGUUGUAAACCGCUUUCGCCUGUGACGAAGCGUGAGUGACGGUAAUGGGUAAAGAAGCACCGGCUAACUACGUGCCAGCAGCCGCGGUGAUACGUAGGGUGCGAGCGUUGUCCGGAUUUAUUGGGCGUAAAGGGCUCGUAGGUGGUUGAUCGCGUCGGAGGUGUAAUCUUGGGGCUUAACCCUGAGCGUGCUUUCGAUACGGGUUGACUUGAGGAAGGUAGGGGAGAAUGGAAUUCCUGGUGGAGCGGUGGAAUGCGCAGAUAUCAGGAGGAACACCAGUGGCGAAGGCGGUUCUCUGGGCCUUUCCUGACGCUGAGGAGCGAAAGCGUGGGGAGCGAACAGGCUUAGAUACCCUGGUAGUCCACGCUGUAAACGGUGGGUACUAGGUGUGGGGUCCAUUCCACGGGUUCCGUGCCGUAGCUAACGCUUUAAGUACCCCGCCUGGGGAGUACGGCCGCAAGGCUAAAACUCAAAGGAAUUGACGGGGCCCCGCACAAGCGGCGGAGCAUGCGGAUUAAUUCGAUGCAACGCGUAGAACCUUACCUGGGUUUGACGUGGAUCGGGAGUGCUCAGAGAUGGGUGUGCCUCUUUUGGGGUCGGUUCACAGGUGGUGCAUGCCUGUCGUCAGCUCGUGUCGUGAGAUGUUGGGUUAAGUCCCGCAACGAGCGCAACCCUUGUUCACUGUUGCCAGCACGUUAUGGUGGGGACUCAGUGGAGACCGCCGGGGUCAACUCGGAGGAAGGUGGGGAUGACGUCAAGUCAUCAUGCCCCUUAUGUCCAGGGCUUCACGCAUGCUACAAUGGCUGGUACAGAGAGUGGCGAGCCUGUGAGGGUGAGCGAAUCUCGGAAAGCCGGUCUCAGUUCGGAUUGGGGUCUGCAACUCGACCUCAUGAAGUCGGAGUCGCUAGUAAUCGCAGAUCAGCAACGCUGCGGUGAAUAAAUUCCCGGGGCU